ACUCGACUGCUACGGCAGACUUACCCAAGACGAGGCAACUACAAUG
rnacentral:ncRNA from 1 species